rnacentral:rRNA from 1 species
AACGGGUGAGUAAUGCGUGACCAACCUGCCCCAUGCUCCAGAAUAGCUCUUGGAAACGGGUGGUAAUGCUGGAUGCUCCAACUUGACGCAUGUCUUGUUGGGAAAGUGUUUAGUGGCAUGGGAUGGGGUCGCGUCCUAUCAGCUUGUAGGCGGGGUAAUGGCCCACCUAGGCUUCGACGGGUAGCGGCCUGAGAGGGCGGACGGCCACAUUGGGACUGAGAUACGGCCCAGACUCCUACGGGAGGCAGCAGNU